UACGUAGGGGGCAAGCGUUGUCCGGAUUUAUUGGGCGUAAAGAGCGUGUAGGCGGCCAUACAGGUCAGCUGUGAAAACUCGAGGCUCAACCUCGAGACGUCGGUUGAAACCGCUUGGCUAGAGUCCGGAAGAGGAGAGUGGAAUUCCCGGUGUAGCGGUGAAAUGCGCAGAUAUCGGGAAGAACACCCGUGGCGAAGGCGGCUCUCUGGGACGGUACUGACGCUGAGACGCGAAAGCGUGGGGAGCGAACAGG
rnacentral:rRNA from 1 species